AUUGAACGCUCGCGGCAGGCCUAACACAUGCAAGUCGAGCGAGCGGCGGACGGGUGAGUAAUGUCUGGGAAACUGCCUGAUGGAGGGGGAUAACUACUGGAAACGGUAGCUAAUACCGCACACCAUCAGAUGUGCCCAGAUGGGAUGAGGUAGUAGGUGGGGUAACGGCUCACCUAGGCGACGAGCCCUAGCCGGUCUGAGAGGAUGACCAGCCACACUGGACCUGAGACACGGUCCAGACUCCUACGGGAGGCAGCAGGGGGGAAUAUUGCACAAUGGGCGCAAGCCUGAUGCGGCCAUGCCGCGUGUGUGAAGAAGGCCUUCGGGGUGUAAAGCACUGUCGGCGGGGAGGCGUUACCCGCAGAAGAAGCACCGGCUAACUCCGUGCCAGCAGCCGCGGUAAUAC
rnacentral:rRNA from 1 species